GGAAGGACUGUUGCUCAGUGGUGGAGCAUCUGUUUUAUGUGCAGAAGGUCCCUGGUUCAAUCCCCGGGCUCUCCA